CGGGGUCACCGGGGUACCGCUGCUCGCCAUGCGCGAGGGGAGGAAAGUCCGAACUCCACAGGACAGCAUGCUGGUUAACGACCAGGCGGGGCAACCCGACGGAAAGUGCAACAGAGAGUAGACCGCCUAAGGCAAUUGUUCCGCAAGGAAGAAUUGAACGGUGAGGGUGAAACGGUGCGGUAAGAGCGCACCAGUAUGGGUGGUGACAUCCGUAGCUCGGUAAACCCCAUGCGGAGCAAGAUCAAAUAGGGAAACGCGAUGUGGCUUGUCUGCAUCAAGAUGUGGUCCGCAUCUGGUUUCCGGGUAGAUCGCUUGAGGCUGGCGGUAACGGCAGUCCCAGAGGAAUGGUAUCCACCCUUCGGGGAACAAAAUUCGGCUUACAGGUGACCCCUCACC
rnacentral:RNase_P_RNA from 1 species